AGGAAUUAAAGCAAGAAAUUGCAUGUGAGUGAAAUUAAAAUUAAAGAUUCAAAACAUAUUACUAACAGAUAGAAAAAGAAACGUGGGUCAAAAAAUAAUAAAAUAUUCAGGAAUUAAACUCAGAAAUUGCAUGUGAGUGAAAUUAAAAUUAAAAUGGCCCAAAGUACACGAGAGAGGUGACAAAGAGGCUAAUAGUUGCGAUUGAUUACCUUUACAAGAUUAACAUCAUCAUCAACAAAGUGAAAAGACAAUCAAGAGAAGCUUUAAAAGAG
rnacentral:lncRNA from 1 species